rnacentral:pre_miRNA from 1 species
GGGGAGGCCGGAUCCUGGGCUGUGUCCCGGCGCCCUGUGCUCCGGGGCCUGCGCUGUUGGAUUCGCGCUCCCGGGCCGCGCAACCCCCU